rnacentral:lncRNA from 7 species
CUCAACCCUUCAAAACCCUCUACCAUUUUAGCUUUGCCUUUUUUUUUCUUUCUAGACAAUAUGUAAAGCCCAAAACCUGUAUAAGAGAAAUAUGAUAGGAUAAAUAAAUAAAUAUGCUUAUAUGCUAGAGUUUUGGGAACUUCUUUAUCUCCUUUUCUUUGUGCAUAUUCAAUUAAUGGAAUAUUAAAUAAAUAAAUAGAAAGAUUCCUUAAUUAUUUAUUUGAGGAAAUAAUACCUCUUAUGAACUUUGUGUUUAGGACCAUAAAUAUUAAGUUAAAUCAUCUCUUAAUAGGGAUUAUGCAUAAAAAAUUCUUAAAAAUACCAGUUUUGGUGUUUGCAUUACACAUUUAAAAGCAUUUUUCUUAAAUAGGAUAAUAAAUAAAUAAAGUUAAGAUUUUGCAUCA